rnacentral:rRNA from 1 species
AUUGAACGCUGGCGGCAGGCCUAACACAUGCAAGUCGAGCGAGCGGCGGACGGGUGAGUAAAGUGUGGGGACUCUCCGAUAGAGGGGGAUAACACCUGGAAACGGUGGCUAUUACCGCGCACUGUAGGAUAACCCAUAUGGGAUUAGCUAGUAGGUAAGGUAAUGGCUUACCCAGGCGACGAUCCCUCGCUGGUCUGAGAGGAUGAUCAGCCACACUGGGACUGAGACACGGCCCAGACUCCUACGGAGGCAGCAGUGGGGAAUAUUGCACAAUGGGCGCAAGCCUGAUGCAGCCAUGCCGCGUGUAUGAAGAAGGCCCUAGGGUUGUAAAGUACUUUCAGUGGGGAGGCGUUACCGACAGAAGAAGCACCGGCUAACUCCGUGCCAGCCGCCGCGGUAAUAC